rnacentral:rRNA from 1 species
GAUGAACGCUGGCGGCGUGCCUAAUACAUGCAAGUCGAGCGAACAGACGAGGAGCUUGCUCCUCUGACGUUAGCGGCGGACGGGUGAGUAACACGUGGAUAACCUACCUAUAAGACUGGGAUCACUUCGGGAAACCGGAGCUAAUACCGGAUAAUAUAUUGCACCGCAUGGUUCAAUAGUGAAAGACGGCUUUGCUGUCACUUCUAGAUGGAUCCCGGCCGCAGUAGCUAGUUGGUAAGGUAACGGCUUAUCAAGGCAACGAUGCGUAGCCGACCUGAGAGGGUGAUCGGCCACACUGGAACUUAGACACGGUCCAGACUCCUACGAGAGGCAGCAGUAGGGAAUCUGCCGCAGUAGGCGGAAGCUUGGCGGAGCAAGGCCGCGUGAGUGAUGAAGGUCUUCGGAUCGUAAAACUCUGUUAUUAGGGAAGAACAAAUGUGUAAGUAACUAUACACGUCUUGACGGUACCUAAUCAGAAAGCCACGGCUAACUACGUG